ACUCCUACGGGAGGCAGCAGUGGGAAUCUUGCGCAAUGGGCGAAAGCCUGACGCAGCCAUGCCGCGUGAAUGAUGAAGGUCUUAGGAUUGUAAAAUUCUUUCACCGGGGACGAUAAUGACGGUACCCGGAGAAGAAGCCCGCUACUUCAGUGCCAGCCAGCCGCCGGGUAAUACGAAGGGGCGUAGCGUUGCUCGGAAUUACUGGGCGUAAAGGGAGCGUAGGCGGACAUUUAAGUCAGGGGUGAAAUCCCGGGGCUCAACCUCGGAAUUGCCUUUUGAUACUGGGUGUCUUGAGUAUGAGAGAGGUGUGUGGAACUCCGAGUGUAGAGGUGAAAUUCGUAGAUAUUCGGAAGAACACCAGUGGCGAAGGCGACACACUGGCUCAUUACUGACGCUGAGGCUCGAAAGCGUGGGGAGCAAACAGGAUUAGAU
rnacentral:rRNA from 1 species